UGGAAUCCAGGUCCCCUUAUCUUGACCAUGUCUAACUUUACUCAUAGCAUUUUUAAAGAUACGGGAGGCUUUUGUAUCAAAAAUGGAUCUAAUGAGUUGGUCUUGUUCCAGAUCCCACCUAUACUCUUUAUGCAUGAAAAAUAAAUUAGAAAACAAACAUUGUAGAAAAUAGAAUAACAUUUUAAAUGUAAUCAUAACUCAAAUUACCUUAAACUCUCCAAACCAUCUAUCUCUGAGCUCAAGACAAACCUUCUUCCAUGUGGGACUGGGUUCAUCAUAUUUUUGCUUGAUGAUUUGUGAGAUUACAUUGGAAGGUCCAUUUGCUGGUGAAAAUAUGUAUUCAAAACAUAUUGUCAAAAUGAUAUAUGAAAAUCAAAACAUAUUGAUGAAUUACAAUUAGAUUAAAAUAUACUUACUCUCCUCUUUCUGCAUGAAGCCAGGGUCUUUGAUCAACUACAUUGUCGGACUCAUUGUCAGGUGUAAGAGAGUCUUGUAUUGGUGAAGGUUGAUUCAUAGUUGGCUCUGUAGAAAAGGAAAUAGGAUUUGAUUCUCCUACAUGAUGUUCAGUAUCUUGUUCGUGAAGUGUAGGAAGUGGGGGUCCUUCAUAGAUAAGAUGUGUAGACUCCAUAGUUGUUGGA
rnacentral:lncRNA from 1 species